UUAGCCGGGGCUUCUUCUCCGGUUACCGUCAUUAUCUUCACCGGUGAAAGAGCUUUACAACCCUAGGGCCUUCAUCACUCACGCGGCAUGGCUGGAUCAGGCUUGCGCCCAUUGUCCAAUAUUCCCCACUGCUGCCUCCCGUAGGAGUCUGGGCCGUGUCUCAGUCCCAGUGUGGCUGAUCAUCCUCUCAGACCAGCUAUGGAUCGUCGCCUUGGUGAGCCUUUACCUCACCAACUAGCUAAUCCAACGCGGGCCGAUCCUUUGCCGAUAAAUCUUUCCCCUUUCGGGCACAUACGGUAUUAGCACAAGUUUCCCUGAGUUAUUCCGUAGCAAAAGGUACGUUCCCACGCGUUACUCACCCGUCUGCCGCUCCCCUUGCGGGGCGCUCGACUUGCAUGUGUUAAGCCUGCCGCCAGCGUUCGUU
rnacentral:rRNA from 1 species